UAAUAAAUUUACAAGUAACAAAUUAUUUUAUUGGUCACAGAUAAAACAUUUUGUAGGUCACAACUCACAACAUUGGUCACAAAUUCAAAAAACUAUAGAUCACAGAUCACAUAUUUUCAUAUUUGAUGGUCACGAUAACUUUUUAAUGACAAAUGAUCAAAUUUUAAUGCCAAAAUUUACGGUCACGAUCGCAGAUAAGACCAAAUAAUUGGUCACGAACAUCCAACAUUCGAUUUCGAUUCUCGACACCACCACCAACACCACCAAUUGGUCACAGGUCAAAUAGUCAGUCACAUACCACCACCAACUCCAUUGCCACCACCGCCACUUGUUACCCUUACCCAUCACCACCGCCACAACCACAACACCAUCGCCAUCGCCAUCGCCAACAAGUCGCCACCAAAAACCACCACGAUCGCCACCAACACUUGUGAUCACCACCUCACCUCACCACUCCCACAACCAUUGUCGAUGAACCACCAGCGCCGUCGCCAGAACAACCACCGUUUGUUGCCAGAACCACUGCACCACUGCACCACUGCCACAACCACCGCUAAACAAAAAUAGAAAAUCAUAUCCAGACCCAAAAUCAGAGCAGCGCACCAGCGGUGAUGAGUAUCACCACUACCCCCAACGAACCCCCACCUGCACCACCCCCACCUCGCCAUCUCUACCACCACCACACAUAAUCGGCUUCCAUACACACUAAACACACAAGUUAGCACAAAUACACCACAGACCGACCACCUCCACCACAUGCGCCAAUGACCGUCGCUACCACCGCAACCACAACAAUAAUCCUCAAACCACAAAAACCAUAAAAACCGCUAUAGCCUCGAUUUGUGCCAUCACCAGGCCGCUACAGCCAUCACGCAUAGCACCGCACUGAGAUCUUCGUUCCCCCCACAAAAUUGCACACCUCCACUACCAAUGCAAUCACAAAACUAGGACACCAUCAUAGCGCGCCACUGCACCACUAGAACUAUUCCAUACUCUCCGCGCGAAGGCUGCCGAGCGCACCAGAAAAUUAUUAUCGGUGCUCUUCUUGCGAGAAGUCGCUGUGGGCACCACCUUUCCCGCAGCCGCUCAAAAGGAGCUCUACCUUCCCCGGUGGCGUCAUUGCAAGGCGCCGAUCAACCGGCUAGAAUAGAGAGGAUGUGGGUAGGGAGAGUGAUAAAAAUGGAAUGGAGAGAGGGAGGUAGAAGGGAGAGAGAUAUAGGGUUUGCUAUUUGGGAGUUGGAAUCGGCUUCUACUGUGUUUUAAUUUAAUAUUUAAAUAUAUAAAAUUUAAAUUGAAUCUUGAG
rnacentral:lncRNA from 1 species